UACGUAGGUGGCAAGCGUUGUUCGGAAUUAUUGGACGUAAAGGGCGCGUAGGCGGCUUUGCAAGUGACGGGUGAAAUCCCUCGGCUUAACCGGGGAACUGCGUCUGAUACUGGAUGGCUUGAGUUCGGGAGAGGGAUGCGGAAUUCCAGGUGUAGCGGUGAAAUGCGUAGAUAUCUGGAGGAACACCGGUGGCGAAGGCGGCAUCCUGGACCGAUACUGACGCUGAGGAGCGAAAGCCAGGGGAGCAAACGGG
rnacentral:rRNA from 1 species